rnacentral:rRNA from 1 species
CUUUUGUGGGGUGCUCGAGUGGCGAACGGGUUAGUAACACGUGAGUAACCUGCCCUUGACUUUGGGAUAACUUCAGGAAACUGGGGCUAAUACCGGAUAGGAGCUCCUGCUGCAUGGUGGGGGUUGGAAAGUUUCGGCGGUUGGGGAUGGACUCGCGGCUUAUCAGCUUGUUGGUGGGGUAGUGGCUUACCAAGGCUUUGACGGGUAGCCGGCCUGAGAGGGUGACCGGCCACAUUGGGACUGAGAUACGGCCCAG